rnacentral:rRNA from 1 species
UACGUAGGGUCCAAGCGUUAUCCGGAUUUACUGGGCGUAAAGUGUAGCGUAGGUGGGAAAACAAGUAUGUCGUCAAAGCCCGAGGCUCAACUUCGGAGAGGCGGUGUAAACUGUUUUCCUUGAGGCUGUUCGGGAGUGCUGGAAUUCACGGUGGAGGGGUGAAAUCCGUUGAUAUCGUGAAGAACACCGAGGGCGAAGGCAAGCACUUAGGACACGCCUGACACUGAGGCACGAAAGCUAGGGGAGCGAAUCGG